AUGGAUUUUAAACUCAGUGUACUUGAAACCAUUACCAAUAAUUUUUCAGAAGACCGAAAAGUUGGCAGUGGUGGGUAUGGAGAUGUUUACAGGGGGAUGUAUAAUGGGGAUGAGAUUGCGGUGAAGAAGCUUCACCACUUGGUAGGACUUGAUGACAAAGCAUUUGACAGUGAAUUUCGUAACCUUAGCAAGGUCCAGCAUCAAAAUAUCAUACGAUUAAUUGGCUACUGCUACGAAUCACGACAUCAGUAUGUCAAGCUCAAUGGGGAACUAGUUUUUGCUAAAGAGAUGGAGCGAGUUCUCUGCUUUGAAUUUAUGGAAGGUGGAAGCCUUGAUCAUCAUAUCGCAGAUGAUUCUUGUGGACUUGAAUGGCCAACAUGUUAUGAAAUUAUUAGAGGGACUUGCGAGGGCUUGAAUCAUCUACAUAAUUCACAGGGAAAACCUAUUUUACAUCUGGAUUUAAAACCUGCCAACAUAUUGCUAGAUAAGAACAAGACUGCCAAAAUUGCAGAUCUUGGUUUGUCCAGACUUGUUGCGUCAACACAAACCCAUAAAACAGAAGUUGUCAAAGGAUCACAAGGGUACAUGCCACCAGAAUACAUAGACGAUAAUCUUAUAUCAAUGAAGUUUGACGUGUUUAGUUUGGGGGUUAUAAUUAUAAAAAUAAUGGAUGGAAAUAUGGGCCGCUCCCGCUGUUCUGAGAUGGGCAGUGAACCAUUUAUUGAGUUUGUAUGUAAAAAAUGGAUGACAAAGCUGCGGGCAAAGUCGGGAUAUUCAUCAGAUGAAAUAGACAGGAAAUGCAUGAAGAAAUGUGUUGAAAUAGCAUUAAGAUGUGUGGUGUCCGACCGGAAUAAAAGACCAUUAAUAAAGGAUAUCGUCAAAGAACUGGAAGAAUUAGAAGAUGAGAUUAAGAAAAUGUCAACGUCUUCUGUUCAGUUAGAAGAGCUAGUCGCACCUCAGAGAGGCUGUGAUUCCAACGUGCUUGCUGUUGAUCCGACCCUGGAGCUGCGCUUCCUGUUUGAGCCAAGGAAAGACAUAUCAAGCUGCCUGCAGCUAACCAACAUGACGAGUGGCUUUACUGCAUUUAACGUAAAGACCAACCACACCAAGUACAGAACACAGCCAAGCAAAGGAGUUAUGCCACCGUGCUCCAAGCGUUAUAUCUCGGUGACCCUGGUAGCACAGGAUGAAGCACCACAGAAUAUGCAGUGCAACGACAUGUUCCUUGUGCAGACUGCUUGUGUCGGUGCGAACCUGACAUCCGAUGAGAUGAUCACCGAAGACUUGUUCAAAGAAGCCAUGGCUGAGAAGGUGAUGGAUGUGGUCAAAUUGCCGAUCGUUUAUGUUUCCCUGGACCAAUUUCAAUGCUAG
rnacentral:rRNA from 1 species